rfam:Populus trichocarpa scaffold_1_contig_263, whole genome shotgun sequence.
UCUAGAACUCGAGAUAUGGGCUGAACACUGAAUAGUGUCUAGGCUGCAGGACAGAUUUCGACUUCUCUUUUGUUGCUACAAUUUGAACUUGAAAACGGCUGUUUUGAAUCUUAGACUCUUCAUGAAAGUUUUAGGUCUAUGUCUUAGCUUUCUAUC